UGUGUAGGGCCCUAUGCUUG
rnacentral:misc_RNA from 1 species